AGGCGGUGCCCCGCGCACGCGGGGAGAAUAGGGAAGCGGGUGUAAAUCCCGCGCGAACUCGUCACUGUGACGGCUUACGGAUGCCCAUGCGUUUGCAGCCACUGGCCUACGGCCGGGAAGGCGGCGCAUCCUUGCCCCAGCCAGGAGACCUGCCGUGCU
rnacentral:ncRNA from 1 species